rnacentral:rRNA from 2 species
GGGUUGUGAGGUUAAGCGACUAAGCGUACACGGUGGAUGCCCUGGCAGUCAGAGGCGAUGAAGGACGUGCUAAUCUGCGAAAAGCGUCGGUAAGGUGAUAUGAACCGUUAUAACCGGCGAUGUCCGAAUGGGGAAACCCAGUGCAAUUCGUUGCACUAUCGUUAACUGAAUACAUAGGUUAACGAGGCGAACCGGGGGAACUGAAACAUCUAAGUACCCCGAGGAAAAGAAAUCAACCGAGAUUCCCCCAGUAGCGGCGAGCGAACGGGGAGCAGCCCAGAGUCUGAAUCAGCUUGUGUGUUAGUGGAACGGUCUGGAAAGUCCGACGGUACAGGGUGAUAGUCCCGUACACCAAAAUGCACAGGCUGUGAACUCGAAGAGUAGGGCGGGACACGUGGUAUCCUGUCUGAAUAUGGGGGGACCAUCCUCCAAGGCUAAAUACUCCUGACUGACCGAUAGUGAACCAGUACCGUGAGGGAAAGGCGAAAAGAACCCCGGCGAGGGGAGUGAAAAAGAACCUGAAACCGUGU